ACGGAAGGCAGCAGUUGGGACUAUUGGUCAAUGGGCGAAAGCCUGACCCAGCGACGCCGCGUGAGGGAAGAAGGUCUUCGGAUUGUAAACCUCUUUCAGCAGGGAAGAAGAAAGUGACGGUACCUGCAGAAGAAGUCACGGCUAACUACGUGCCAGCAGCCGCGGUAAUACGUAGGUGGCGAGCGUUAUCCGGAAUUACUGGGUGUAAAGGGUGUGUAGGCGGGGAGACAAGUCAGGCGUGAAAUGUACGGGCUCAACUCGUAGACUGAGCUUGAAUCUGUCACUCUUGAGUGUGGGAGAGGUAAACGGAAUUCCUGUUGUAGUAGUGGAAUGCGUAGAUAACAGGAGGAACACCGGUGGCGAAGGCGGUUUACUGGACCACAUCUGACGCUCAGACACGAAAGCGUGGUGAGCAAAC
rnacentral:rRNA from 1 species